rnacentral:tRNA from 1 species
GGAGUUGUAGCUCAGUGGUAGAUUGCUUGCCUAGCAUGUAUGAGGCAAUGAAUUCAAUUCUCAGCACCA